rnacentral:rRNA from 1 species
GAUGCGACCUCAGCUCAGGCGGGGCUACCCGCUGAGUUUAAGCAUAUCAAUAAGCGGAGGAAAAGA